ensembl:lncRNA
CUGGAGUAUGUCGGGAUGGGAGCUCUGAUCAUAAUCAUAGUAGACCAUGUCCAUGGCCUGUCUUCAUGAGCUGUGCGUGGCUGCAAAUGAGUUGACGAGUGCGCUGUAGGUGUAUCGCUCGCUGUGUGACGGUGCACAGCUCUGUGAGCACAAUAUGUAACGGAGCAUAAAACAAGAAAAAAAACUGAUGACAUAAAGGAGGUUUUGUAUUUGUUACCCACGCAUGACCCUGCCACUCUCUCUGGGGUCACAGCUGCUCCGUAGGACGAAACGAGCACCAGGCGCGGCCACUUCAAAAGACCGAGUGGACAGUAAAAGUUUUAACUAAUUAUUUGUUUAUUUUAUUUAAAAAAAGAGGUUGUUGUUGUCAGUAGAAAGUUUAACUUUGGGAUGUGUAUCACUGUUUCUUCACAAACUUAAGCUCAGUUGCUUAAGGCUUUGCGCUAAAGUUUGCCUUAACGUUGUGACCUUUGAGUUCCAGAGUUGUUAGAACCAAAGCUGUUGGGUUACUACAGACAAUAUAAUUUCAGCUAUAAUCAUGUUGUUGUUAUUAUUAUUAUUAUUAUUAUAUAGCCUGGGAGGCGACUGCAGCGCUGAGGUAAUUUGAGAGGGCGGCGCGCGCUGCAGGUGGACGGAAGUGCAAAGGAGGCCCAUCUCGAGGACGUGCGUUCGGGCGGGAACGAGCGACUCUGUGGAAAGAAGAAGAGCGCUCGAUACCUCCGCGUGCCCCAGAUACACGGGAACGUCGCUCCGUCUCGCGCUCGCGCUCGUGCUCGCGCUGCGCUUCCCCAACGCGAUUUGUCGAAACUGACAUUCUUUCCCCGACCCUUAUUAAUACUCUGUUUAAGCUGCCAAAAUCCAAUAAGACGUUUUCUAAUUACCGCUACAUUAGGCUUCCAUGAAUAGUUUAUCAGGGUCCCGCUGCGCGCGCUAAUGGCGGGAACGCGUCGCGCGCUCACACCUCAAUUUCAAAGCGGCGCGACGCGUUCGGAGCACGAGCGCAGAUUCUGUCUGUCCGUCCGCGCGCCGGGAGUCGUUGAGGUUGUAGGCUAUCAGCUGAUCUUACGGAGCCGUUUGUCCGACUCCCCACGCAACUAUCCAGGGUGCCCCGCUGACCGUAGGCAUUACCCAGGGCAGUGAAGGGUAGAGAACCCCAGGCAGUGUCAUCCACCCGAAGGACAGCGGGGCAGCUACUUUUCCCUGGGCCUCUUCCCCUGAAAUGGCUGGCCUGACAUAAAAUUCAAACCCAUCCUCCCUCGCAGGGAGCACAGGAUGCAACACCGAGGAAGCUUUUUACAAAAGCUACCUUUAAUGCAAGUUCUAACGGCGUAUUAGAACAGAUUUCUCAGCUCCUCUUUUCCCCCGGCGCCCAUACAAGUUAGUGAUCACCUGCUAGGUCCGUAACCACGGUCCAUGUCCUCCCUGCCUUGUUAUCCUGGCUCCAAAGGGCUGGGUGUUGUCAGUCCUGGAGAUGCGUAUUCCCUAAAAGGCCCUAAGUAUCUCCCCGACUAGAUGCCAUCAUUGCUGCCUCUCUGGCAGCUAUAUUCGGCACUGCUAAUUGGGUGCUCUGGUCUCUUUGUUGGAGAAAAAAGUGACACGUUUGAAGUUAAUAAAAAUCUCCAGUGCAUUGACUUUUUUUUUAAG